rnacentral:rRNA from 1 species
GAUGAACGCUGGCGGCGUGCCUAAUACAUGCAAGUCGAGCGAACGGACGAGAAGCUUGCUUCUCUGAUGUUAGCGGCGGACGGGUGAGUAACACGUGGAUAACCUACCUAUAAGACUGGGAUAACUUCGGGAAACCGGAGCUAAUACCGGAUAAUAUUUUGAACCGCAUGGUUCAAAAGUGAAAGACGGUCUUGCUGUCACUUAUAGAUGGAUCCGCGCUGCAUUAGCUAGUUGGUAAGGUAACGGCUUACCAAGGCAACGAUGCAUAGCCGACCUGAGAGGGUGAUCGGCCACACUGGAACUGAGACACGGUCCAGACUCCUACGGGAGGCAGCAGUAGGGAAUCCUCCGCAAUGGGCGAAAGCCUGACGGAGCCACGCCGCGUGAGUGAUGAAGGUCUUCGGAUCGUAAAACUCUGUUAUUAGGGAAGAACAUAUGUGUAAGUAACUGUGCACAUCUUGACGGUACCUAAUCAGAAAGCCACGGCUAACUACGUG